GUGACUCUCCCGGCUGAGGCCCCUUGGUGCUUAAUUGUUUUCUUAUUUUGAGGCUUCUGCUGGUGGGCAGUGUUGAGGCACAAGGUGGGCAGAAGAGCUCGGGCUGCAGCCGUCGGUAACAGCUCCGCGGCUGGUCCGAGCGCCACAAGGGCGUGGUGGUAGCUGCCGUCUCAUUGCAGCCAGGGGAGAACAUGGCGGGAGGAGGAGGAAGCUCAGCUCAGUGCGUGCAGACUGGUGUGGGAGGCUUCCUGUUACUGACGUGUAAAGCGGGAAAACAGCAACUCUACGUUGAAACUGACCAAGAUGAAAAGGAAAACAGAAGAUAAUAAAUACAAGCUAAAAUGGUAAUCUAACCAUUGUGGGAUUCUGCAUGAAAAACACUGCAGGAAAAUUAUAUGGACAUGUGAGCAAAGCCUGAUGUCUUUGUUACCGCGGGUGAGACUUCCCAUUGCUCUGAUAUGGCAGCUCUGUCCUUGGGCGUCCUGGAGAUUCCUCUGAGCAAGGCAGUGCUGUUGACUAGUUCUCCUAGCCAGGAACGUGGGAUCUGCCUGGGAAAAGGGCUAUCAACAGUCCAAGGUCAUCUGUGCCUGUUCUCACUGUUUGUUGCUUUUGCUGGUAGCUGAUAAAGGCCCAACAUCUAAAUAACAGGAGCAGCCAGGGAAGCAUGUGUGGCUUCAUCCCAUUUUUCCAAUACACUCCCUGCCAAGCUACACCAAGAGCUGUUUGCCUGCAGAGCAGGAAUGGGCCUAUAUAUUCAACAAAACAGGACCAGAGGGACUCAUUCAACUCCUAAAAAUGACCUCAAACUGGGUUUUUUAAUUAUCUGAAAAUGUCACCAGUUUGGAUUAGAAAAUCUCAGGGCUUUCUAGAGCUUGGCUGGGUUUUGGUACCUUCUCUCAGUAACACGAAUCUCUCCUGUUCUGCAGUGUGAUACAGUCCUAGGCUAUUUUUUUUCUUGUGUGUGAAGCAAAAUCAUUAUUAUCCCACUAGCGACUAUUGCCCAUCCUACAGUAAGUUCUCGAGUGUUUGCCAUUAAGCAAAUAUCACAGGAACAAGAAAAGUCAAACCAGAAAUCCUCAUAGUAGCCAGAUGGGGUGUAGGUUGCUGGUCUGUGGUCGCUGGUUCAGGUGCAGGCUGUGUCGUUUGUUUCUUUGCAGCGCACACAUCAACUGUGUGCUUG